GAGUCGCAGUUUCUGUUGUGUUCCAGGCUGUUCGUCUUCCAACCAAAAACAGCCCUACCUUUCUUUUCAUUCUUUUCCUGUGGAUCCAAACCUGAAACCCAAAUGGAUACAGGCGAUCCGAAGAGAGAAAGGGCAUAGUUUUAAUGUUAAAACAGGUAGCACCUAUGUUUGCAGCCGGCACUUCGCUCCGGAUGAUUACAGUGGUGGCUGCGUCGUUCGUCGCCUGAAGAGUGGUGUCGUCCCAAGCCUAUUUCCUUGGAACAACUUUACUGCUCCUUUGAGAAGGGAGUCAGUAUAUGACAGAACCUUAAAACGUCAGUCUAUACAGCUAUGCUGUGAAGAUAGCGACAUGGUGGCUAAGGCAGCAAGGAUGGAUCACGACUACGUGACACACCCACCUGCAGGUGCUCUGGAUGAGGCUUUGGAUUACAUCCAUGACCUAGAAGCCAAAUUG